CAGUUACUAACCAAACCCGAUUUCAUCGGUUUUAGCUUCAUUCUCAAGUAGACUCAUCCAUUUGGAUUUUCAAAAAUCAUCCUCCACCCUCUCUUCGUCGCCUACAAUACUUGUCCCAUUUCAUGAAUGCAUUUUUUUUAAUUCCAUUUUGAUCAAUAAAGCUUAUUAAGCAACUAAAAGAGAAAUUAAAAAAGCAAUUAAAAGAGAAGGCAUCACAACUUACACCACCCCUGCCCCACUCCCCCAAUUGCAUCCAAAAGAAAACAGUGUUUUUCCUUCAUUUCUAUUAUCGGAGUGGGGGCGGGGAGAGGAAUCCAAGGAACAGACAAAAAGGAAGAGAGAAUUCUGUGGAGGGGGCAAUAAAUUUUUGAAGUGGGAGAAAAGAAGCAAAAGGACUCGGAGAGAACAGCGGCAAACUUAAGAAAGGAGAAAAUGAAAAUAAAAGAAAAAAAGAGAGGGACCAAUAAUAUCAUAUCAAAUCCAAAAUCACAACCCCAGGAAAGAGGUGUUGCGUUCCCAAUGAUCUGGGAAUUCAAAAUCUAACCAAAACAGAACAAAACAAAACAAAACAAAAUAAGACAUAAUAAACCAAAAAAAACUCAGAUUGCACAGUCCACAAAAAAAAAAGGAGGGUCCGAAAAUUGAUGCUCCAACAUUCGAGCAUCAGUUACUAAUGCAACUUCCAUUCUCAGAUCACACAAAAAUAUCUUCUCAGUUAAUAAUUCUAAAAGUAUUUCGUGACCCAAAACAACGCAUAAAAGCGAAUUUCAGAAAUAACAACAAAAAAAGUAAAAUUACCUAGCUUUAUCGAGUGAAUUGACCCAAAUCCACUGCCUUAAGAUCAACAGAUCCAAUCCAACAGCACAAUUAAGCAGAAAUGCAAAAUCUGACAGGAACAAGGGAAAGUGUUUUUGUUUUUCUUUGGAGAGAGAAAGGGAAAGGGGAGGAGAGAGAAAGAGUAUUGUUAUCACUAGGGGGGUAAUAUAUGUUGGAGUGGGAGAGAGAGAAAGUCGGGGGGUUGGAGGGAAUGAUUUGUUGCCAGGCGUGCUUGUCACUAACGGCAGAGAAGAAAAGGGAGGUGAAAGGAAAGAGAGAGAAAAAAA
rnacentral:lncRNA from 1 species